ACUUUAAUCUUUGGGAAUAAUGAUACCAGCUUCCAAGAGUUCAGGAAAUAUGCCCAUGGGCCUACAUGGGCGUGGCACAUGGCUGUAGCUCAAAAAAAAGAAAAUGUAGCUGUUGUUGAAUCAAGGGUUUAUCCUUUUUCAAAGCACUUUCAAUAGCUCAGGCCCAGAUGAUGCACAGAGAACCAACUGAGCAGCAUGUCUGGUUUGCUUAGAUGUCCUGAGGCUGCGGGAGACAGGGUCCCCCCUCGCGGGGCCGGGUCAGCCAGGGGGACGUGGCUCCAGGAGCACCAGGGCCAAAGUGAAAGGGAAGGUGACCUGGUCACAGGCCAGCGAGAGCUUUAAGGGGUCGCUGCCCGUGGACUCCCUGUGGGCAGUAGCAGAGCUAGACAAGAAGACUGGUCUUCAGAUUCCCGUGAGAGUUUCCUCUUGGGACAGAGAGUGUGACAACUUGGGCAGAGGAGGAGGAGAAGUUGUUGAGCCACUAAGUCACAUCUGACUCUUAGGACCUCAUGGACUGUAGCCUGCCAGGCUCUUCUGUUCAAGGGAUUUCCCAGGUGAGAAUACUGGAGUGGGUUGCCAUUUCCUCCUCCAGGGGAUCUUCCCGAUCCAGGGAUCGAACCUGUGUCUCCUGCCUUGACAGGCAGCUUCUUUACCACUGAACUACCAGGGAAGCCUUGAGGAGGAGAAGAGGGGACCAUAAACCCAGGAGGACCCUGCUUCAAGUGACCUCUCCGAGGAAGGGAGCUGUAGAGGGAAAUAAGGCUGCCGAUAACUCAGAAGCUCGCUGUCCCGUCAAGAGGACCAGCAGCUGGAGAGAGUUCCGAGCCUGUGGAUCUCCACCUGCAGACGUCAGCGGGGAGAGAGAAACGCUGACUCCGCGCUGUUGGGGGGGUGGCGUCAGGUUCGACCUCUCAGAAGGGCGCUCUGGCAACGCCUAUCCGAGUCAUGGAAAUGUGCGUCCUUCUGGCCCCAUAACUCCAAGUCUGAGAAUUUCACCGAAGGAAAGAGAUUCAUCAGUGAAAUCAUAGGGUUAUUGUUCUUGCUU
ensembl:lncRNA